AAAGUGAAUUAUGCAAAACAGGAAAUGUACAAAACACAUCACACACACAAGCCUGGUGGCUCUAUUUUCUAGCUAGCGUUGAACUUUCGUUGUUCCACCUUUUUUUUAUUUGAGGACAGAUUUGUUUAUUUCCUUUUUUGUUGGAUUGAAACGACACAUUUUUCAAGAUGGGGGGCGGCGAUCUGAACUUGAAAAAGAGCUGGCAUCCCCAGACUAUGAAAAAUAUUGAGCGUGUUUGGAAAGCUGAACAGAAACAUGAGGCUGAAUGCAAGAAGAUUGAGGAGCUCCAGAAAGAACUGAAAGACGAACGAGCCCGAGAAGAAAUAACAAGAUUUGCACAGGAAUCCGGCUCCAUCAAAAAGAAGGAUGAUCGCCUGGACUGGAUGUACCAGGGCCCUGCUGGUCAGGUGUCCAGAGAUGAGUAUCUGCUGGGACGCUCCAUUGACAAGCAGAUCACCGACCAAUACGAGGAGCCAGAGAGUGGUCCGUCGGCGGAGACUGGCCUCCUGCCGGGGUCCAUUUUCAACCCCACCACUCCUGCCUCCAACCUGGACCUGGCUGCCAAGAUCAGGGAAGAUCCCCUGUUUGAAAUCAGGAAACGCGAGGAAGAAAAGAAGAGAGAAGUCUUGAGUAAUCCAGUGAAGAUGAAGAAAAUUAAAGAAAUGCUGCGCCAGAAUCUUGACAAGAGAGACAAGAAGAAGAAGAGGAAGAAGGAAAAGAAGGAGAAGCAGAGGAAAGAAGACAAAGAGAGAAGAAAGGAGAAGAAGCACAAGAGAAGGAGUUCAAGUUCCGGCUCAGACGAGGAGGACGAGAAAAAACACCGGUUACAUUCACGAGAUGAAUCUUCAGCAGACACCAAAUCUCGUUCCCAUCAUCUUCCGGGCUACGGCCUACUGCUCCCCGCGGGCAGACAUCACCAGUCCUCCGCUCCCUCCAAUCACUCAGGGCGCCGCGAGAGGAGCCGCUCCCGAUCACCUCCCAGGAACAACAGGGACAGCCAGCUCAACUCUUCCUCCUCACACAGAGGCGACAGGAAGGUUGAGCCCAGAGCUUCCAGCCUACAGACAGCGCGGAACCACAGACCGAGGCACCCAGUGUCCAAGAAGCUCUCUGCAGAGGAGCUGGAGCGCAAGAGGCGGGAGAUGAUGGACCAGGCCAAGCAGAGGGAGGAGGACAGGGAGAACAACGUGAGGAGAUACAAGAAGCAGGACGAGCAGGAAAAGCAGCGGGAACAAAAUGCCAAGCACGAACGCCACGCUGGCUUCAUUCAUAACAUGAAGCUGGAGAGCGCUGCCAGCUCUUCCGUAGAGGACCGGGUGAAGAGGAACAUCCACUCCAUUCAGAGGACCGCAGCCUCCCUGGACAACUUCAUGAAGAGAUGAAGACUCAACACGUGUAUCAUACAGAUAAACUGAACUGAUUGGGGGGAAAAAAGGCCUUGGCAAGAGUAAAGGUCCUUGCACACCGAGUCCGAAAUUAUGGUAUGCGUUUUUAAAAAAAUCGCAAAAACAAUAUAUAAUGUGACGCUGCCGUCGCUCUGAAAGAGUUGCGCUGCCCUCUCUCUCUCUGUCGCCAUCACUACACUGUUGCUCUCCUUUUUCCUGUCUGUUCUCAUAUUCCCCUCUCCCUCUAUUCAUUCUCUUCCUCAUCAACCUACUGGAUAUUACCAUCUGACCUGUUGACAGACUAUCUUGAGCGGGCAAAGCAGAGAAAGGGGGGGUAACCUUGCCCCUUAUGACCUCAAAGGGGAAGAUUCCAGAUCGGCCCAUCUGAGCGUUCAUUUCAUCAAAGGCAGAGCAGGACACCCAGGGCUCGGUUUACAUCUAUCACCAUUUCUAUCUACUGGGGGACCAUAGGCAGGCUGGGGGAACGCAUAUUAAUGUUAAAAAACCUCAUAAAGAGAAAUUUUCAUGCCAUGGGACCUUUAACGUCCAAAAAUGUCGGUCUCAGUGUGCAAGGACCCUAAGCCACCCACACCUUUAUCUGUCUCUUUAAUGUAUUGAAGCAGAUGUGUACGAGGAUGGAUGGUGUCAUGCGAUCAAACAAGGAACUACAUGGCCCCAUGCCUAACUGUGGCUUUUAUUUUGAAAAAUAGUUUCCGCAACGGUAUAUUUCAGACUAUGACGGCUAAUCUGUUUUAGUUACUUUUCUUAAAAGCCAAUACCCCUUUAAAGUUCACGUGAUCUGGACUUUGUACAGUAUAUUGUUUUAAUUUUUACAGUAUAAUAGGACCUGCUUUUAUCUAAUAAGGUUUUUGUAGUAUAUGUUUGUUACUUGGUGUACUCCUGUGAGUUGCAAAUGUAAUAAAAAAAACAUAUUUCCAGAGCUCCAUUAUUUGUUUUCGCUUAUUGAAAUAAACGUAUGUUGUCACUGG